rnacentral:rRNA from 1 species
UUCCAGACUCCUACGGGAGGCAGCAGUGAGGAAUAUUGGUCAAUGGGCUUACGCCUGAACCAGCCAAGUCGCGUGAGGGAAGACUGCCCUAUGGGUUGUAAACCUCUUUUGUCAGGGAGCAAUUGGCGCUACGUGUAGCGUUAUCGAGAGUACCUGAAGAAAAAGCAUCGGCUAACUCCGUGCCAGCAGCCGCGGUAAUACGGAGGAUGCGAGCGUUAUCCGGAUUUACUGGGUGUAAAGGGGGCGCAGACGGCGAUGCAAGCCAGGAGUGAAAGCCCGGGGCCCAACCCCGGGACUGCCCUUGGAACUGCAUGGCUGGAGUGCGGGAGGGGCAGGCGGAAUUCCUGGUGUAGCGGUGAAAUGCGUAGAUAUCAGGAGGAACACCGGCGGCGAAGGCGGCCUGCUGGACUGCGACUGACGUUGGGGCUCGAAAGCGUGGGGAGCGAACAGGAUUAGAUACCCCUGUA